GAUGAACGCUGGCGGCGUGCCUAAUACAUGCAAGUCGAGCGAACAGAUGAGGAGCUUGCUCCUCUGACGUUAGCGGCGGACGGGUGAGUAACACGUGGAUAACCUACCUAUAAGACUGGGAUAACUUCGGGAAACCGGAGCUAAUACCGGAUAAUAUAUUGAACCGCAUGGUUCAAUAGUGAAAGACGGUUUUGCUGUCACUUAUAGAUGGAUCCGCGCCGCAUUAGCUAGUUGGUAAGGUAACGGCUUACCAAGGCAACGAUGCCUAGCCGACCUGAGAGGGUGGUCGGCCAAACUUGGACUGGACCCCGGUUCAGAAUCCUAAGGGAGGCAACCGGAGGGAAUCUUCCGGAAUGGGCGAAAGCCUGACGGAGCAACGCCGCGUGGGUGAUGAAGGUCUUCGGAUCGUAAAACUCUGUUAUUAGGGAAGAACAAAUGUGUAAGUAACUAUGCACGUCUUGACGGUACCUAAUCAGAAAGCCACGGCUAACUACGUG
rnacentral:rRNA from 1 species